rnacentral:rRNA from 1 species
GACGAACGCUGGCGGCGUGCUUAACACAUGCAAGUCGAACGAUGAACUUGGAGCUUGCUCUGGGGGAUUAGUGGCGAACGGGUGAGUAACACGUGAGUAACCUGCCCUGGACUCUGGGAUAACUUCGAGAAAUCGGAGCUAAUACCGGAUAGGACCUUGCACCGCAUGGUGUGGGGUGGAAAGUUUUUCGGUUUGGGAUGGACUCGCGGCCUAUCAGCUUGUUGGUGAGGUAAUGGCUCACCAAGGCGUCGACGGGUAGCCGGCCUGAGAGGGUGGCCGGCCACACUGGGACUGAGACACGGCCCAGACUCCUACGGGAGGCAGCAGUGGGGAAUAUUGCACAAUGGGCGCGAGCCUGAUGCCGCAACGCCGCGUGCGGGAUGACGGCCUUCGGGUUGUAAACCGCUUUUAGUAGGGAAGAAGCCUUCGGGUGACGGUACCUGCAGAAAAAGGACCGGCUAACUACGUGCCAGCAGCCGCCGUAAAAC